CAGUCGUACUUAUGGGUAAUCAGCCUUUUGGGUGUGAUUUUGUGGAGUGUGAGGAGUUAAACGCCUUCAUGCCUGCAUAUUCGUGCACUUUGGGUGUACUUGCCCGUGUGUAAGUUAACAUCAAUUUUGGUGGUCAUAAAAUGAUUGGAGGAAUGUAGCUUCGAUCUCGUAUUGAAGUGUUAUAGCCUUUGGUAGAUGUGAUGUUUGAGGACCGUAGGAUUAGCAACGGAUACCCUUCAGGGGCUAUUCGUCUGAUCUCUGAUACGUUGCCUUGA
rnacentral:rRNA from 1 species